CUAAGUCGUUUCACGUUUAAUAUCUGAUUUUUUCUUGCCUGCUAGAGAGAAUGUGACCGUGGAUUUGUAGUGAAAAUGUUGAGGCCGUUGAUUCAGAGAUGUUGAUAGAUGCCAGUUCUAGAGAGCCUCUAGUUGCCUUCGUCAUGUGACGCACCUACAAGAAGCAGGAUUGUUUCUGCUAUUUUGUGUCUUUGUGUGAUGUGAUUUUUGUUUGGCUCAGGCUGUUAGGAUCUGUGCAGCCGGUUGAGCUUAUUAUGGAGAAUGGGCGGCGUUUUGAGUCCAAGGAAGCUUUGGCCGUAACUGUAGCUGACAUAUGGCAAUGAUGAAUCCGCAUAUUUCCACAGUGCCUUCAUUGCUUUUCCCUUUUCAUCUUGUGUUUGGUAGUGUGUAUGCUCACUGGUGGUGUGUGAUGGCUGUAGUUGGAAAGCACUUGAGGAAGGUAUUGGAUAAAGGUGUACCUAAGGAAAAGUGGUAGCAGGCAUUCGAGUCUCAGGACAAAGAUUCGGUGGAGUAUAUCUUGGGGCAGUGUGUCUUCACUAGGCAUGCUUGUUUACAAGGAGUUGGGCUACAGAUACCUGAACCGCAAGGCAAAUGGUGCGCUUGAGGAUUGGUGGCUGCAAUCCACAGAUAUAGUGCAAAAGUAAGACAAGAAAAUUUGACACGCUGGU